GUUCGGAUUGCAGUCUGCAACUCGACUGCAUGAAGCUGGAAUCGCUAGUAAUCGCGAAUCAGCAUGUCGCGGUGAAUACGUUCCCGGGUCUUGUACACACCGCCCGUCACACCAUGGGAGUCGGAAAUGCCCGAAGCCAGUGACCCAACCUUUAAGGAGGGAGCUGUCGAAGGCAGGUCUGGUAACUGGGGUGAAGUCGUAACAAGGUACC
rnacentral:rRNA from 1 species